UGGGGAAUAUUGCACAAUGGGCGCAAGCCUGAUGCAGCAACGCCGCGUGAACGAUGAAGGUCUUCGGUUCGUAAAGUUCUGUUGCAGGGGAAGAUAAUGACGGUACCUAACCAGAAAGCCACGGCUAACUACGUGCCAGCAGCCGCGGUAAUACGUAGGUGGUAAGCGUUGUCCGGAAUUAUUGGGCGUAAAGCGCGCGCAGGUGGUUUAGAAAGUCUGAUGUGAAAGCCCACGGCUCAACCGUGGAGGGUCAUUGGAAACUAAUAAACUUGAGUGCAGGAGAGAAAAGUGGAAUUCCUAGUGUAGCGGUGAAAUGCGUAGAGAUUAGGAGGAACACCGGUGGCGAAAGCGGCUUUUUGGCCUGCAACUGACACUGAGGCGCGAAAGCGUGGGGAGCAAACAGG
rnacentral:rRNA from 1 species